rnacentral:rRNA from 1 species
UACGGGGGGGGCAAGCGUUGUUCGGAAUUACUGGGCGUAAAGGGCGCGUAGGCGGUCCGCUAAGUUGGAUGUGAAAACUCUGGGCUUAACCCAGAGCCUGCAUCCAAAACUGGCAGACUGGAGUUUUGGAGGGGGAAGCGGAAUUCCUGGUGUAGCAGUGAAAUGCGUAGAUAUCAGGAGGAACACCGGUGGCGAAGGCGGCUUCCUGGACAAAAACUGACGCUGAGGCGCGAAAGCUAGGGGAGCAAACAGG